CCUACGGGUGGCUGCAGUGGGGAAUAUUCCACAAUGGACGAAAGUCUGAUGGAGCGAUGCCGCGUGCAGGAUGAAGGCCUUCGGGUUGUAAACUGCUUUUGUAUAGGAAGAAUUUCGAUGACGGUACUAUGCGAAUAAGAGGUUACUAACUCUGUGCCAGCAGUAGCGGUAAUACAGAGACCUCAAGCGUUAUCCGGAUUUAUUGGGCGUAAAGGGCGGGUAGGUGGUCAUAUUAGUCAGAUGUCAAAUCUUUGAGCUCAACUCGAAAACUGCAUUUGAAACGGUAUGACUAGAGGGUGUGAGAGACCACUGGAACUCAUGGUGUAGCAGUGAAAUGCGUUGAUAUCAUGAGGAACACCAAAGGCGAAGGCAUGUGGUUGGCGCACUCCUGACACUGAGGCGCGAAAGCGUGGGUAGCGAAUGGGAUUAGAUACCCUAGUAGUC
rnacentral:rRNA from 1 species